rnacentral:tRNA from 1 species
AAGGAUUUAGCUCAGGGGCAUAAGUGCCUGCUUGGCAAGCAGGAGGUUGUGAGUUUGAUCCCCUCAAUCCUUG